UACGAAGGGGGCUAGCGUUGUUCGGAAUUACUGGGCGUAAAGCGCACGUAGGCGGAUGUGCCAGUCAGGGGUGAAAUCCCGAGGCUCAACCUCGGAACUGCCUCCGAUACAGCACGUCUCGAGUCCGGAAGAGGUGAGUGGAAUUCCUAGUGUGGAGGUGAAAUUCGUAGAUAUUAGGAAGAACACCAGUGGCGAGGCGGCUCACUGGUCCGGUACUGACGCUGAGGUGCGAAAGCGUGGGGAGCAAACAGG
rnacentral:rRNA from 1 species